rnacentral:rRNA from 1 species
UGAUUGGACGUGCUUGCACGGACUUGACGUUGGUUUACCAACGAGUGGCGGACGGGUGAGUAACACGUAGGUAACCUGCCCCAAAGCGGGGGAUAACAUUUGGAAACAGAUGCUAAUACCGCAUAACAAUUUGAAUCGCAUGAUUCAAAUUUAGAAGAUGGUUUCAGCUAUCACUUUGGGAUGGACCUGCGGUGCAUUAGCUUGUUGGUAGGGUAACGGCCUACCAAGGCUGUGAUGCGUAGCCGAGUUGACAGACUGAUCGGCCACAAUGGAACUGAGACCCGGUCCAUACUCCUACGGGAGGCAGCAGUAAGGAAUCUUCCACAAUGGGCGCAAGCCUGAUGGAGCAACACCGCGUGAGUGAAGAAGGGUUUCGGCUCGUAAAGCUCUGUUGUUAGAGAAGAACGUGCGUGAGAGCAACUGUUCACGCAGUGACGGUAUCUAACCAGAAAGUCACGGCUAACUACGUGCCAGCAGCCGCGGUAAUACGUAGGUGGCAAGCGUUAUCCGGAUUUAUUGGGCGUAAAGCGAGCGCAGGCGGAUUGAUAAGUCUGAUGUGAAAGCCUUUGGCUUAACCAAAGAAGUGCAUCGGAAACUGUCAGACUUGAGUGCAGAAGAGGACAGUGGAACUCCAUGGCU